CAUAAAGUGGCAGAGAAGUGCACUAGACUUAAGUCCUAGAAAUAAAUUAAAUUUUCUUUGUGA
rnacentral:tRNA from 1 species